UACAUCGGAACGUGCCCAGUCGUGGGGGAUAACUACGCGAAAGCGUAGCUAAUACCGCAUACGAUCUACGGAUGAAAGCGGGGGAUCGCAAGACCUCGCGCGAUUGGAGCGGCCGAUGGCAGAUUAGGUAGUUGGUGAGGUAAAGGCUCACCAAGCCGUCGAUCUGUAGCUGGUCUGAGAGGACGACCAGCCACACUGGGACUGAGACACGGCCCAG
rnacentral:rRNA from 1 species